CCUGCUGGCCAGGCCUGGUACAGGCUGGCUGAAAGCGGGAGGGCCAAGUCCCUUUAACCGCUGUAUGGAGAUUUUGUCAAGGUCAGCUGGCUGAAAGUGACUUCUAUGCUAUUUUCAAUCUCAUUCAGGAGCUCGUUUUCAACUCGCUCAAGAUUUUUGAGAGUUGUUGGUCAUCAUUAAGGGUGACUAUUUCCCCAGGCUUUAGUGGACGUUGGACAAGUCGCUGGAUUUGGAUUGGCUGGCCCUUCAAUCGCUCUUCUAUGUACGCGCGAUUUCGUGUGCCUCUUUUAAAAUCUCGAAACAGGCCGUUGAUCACGUGUCCUUCCAUGCGCACAACAGGUGGCAAUCGAAUCUGAUGAGAGAUGGGGCGCCAUCAAAAUGGGCCGUCGCCUCCCGCAUUGCAUGCCGAUCUAGAUGAGUAGUUGGAGAUUGCUGCUGCUGUGUGUCAACGGAAGAUGAAGCCCGUAGCUGGGAGGCCUGUGCUGCUGGCUAGUGCUUCUGGACGACCAUUUGAUGCUGCUGCGUAUCCAUUUGCGUUUUCUGCCGUUGAGUGUCAGCAGAAGAUGAGGCCCGUAGCUGGGAGGCCUGUGUUGCGGGCUGGUGCUGCUGACCAAUAAGUUUAUGCUGCUGCUGCGCCAUAAUUUGCUGUGAAGUUGCAGUUUGAGGAACUGGAGUCUGAGAUUGCUGCUGCUGACUGUCAGCAGUGGUUGACGCCCAAUAUCUGUAGAUAUUGUAUAUUUGCUGACAUAGGAGGAGCUAGAUUUGUGGAUUGCUGCUGCUGUGUGUCGAUAGGAGUUGACACCUGAAACUGACAGGCCUGUGCUGGAGGCUGACGCUGCUGUCCAACCACUUGAUGCUGCUGCUGCAUCGCCAUUUGCUGUAGUUGAUGUAUACUUCCUGCAA